UCACAAACAACUCACAACUUAAACCACCGCCUCAUACUCAUAACUCAUAACUCAUAAAUCUAAAUCACCCUUCAUCAAGAAUUUGCUCUCUGCGAUUUUGCUGAAACCUAAUGAAAAAUCCCCCAUUCAUUUUCUCCUUAAAUUCAUGCUUUAGAAUGUAUUCGGCGACAAAUCAAAAUUUCGCUCCUUUUCCAACCAUUCUGAAUUUAGGAUGGAAUGUGAAAUUCUAGAAUUCGAUUUCUAGGGUUCCACAUUCCGUAAUUGAAUUCGUAUAAUUCAAAUGAGUGGUAAUCGAUUUCGGAAUUUUGAUUUAUCACCUUUUCAAGAUAGAAUAUUGUAGAGAUUUAGGUAUUUUAUGAAUUUCGUUGAACAUUUCAAGUUCUCCCCAAUAAUUCAUGAUAUUGAAGUGUGAAGAACGAGAUUUUAAGGGGAAGGUUGUUCAAAGCGAAGGUAAGGACGCUGAGGGUUGCUAAAAGUAUCUAGCAACAUUUGUACUGUGUUCGUAGUCUGCUGGCAGAGAAAGCUAGAAGGGUGGAGUUAACACUUAACACAGGUGUAUUGAUGAACAAUGGAAUAAUUGAGAGUUUGUGAUAUAUAACGGAGUGAGUUAAUUGAAGCUAAGUUUGAUGUUGCUACAGCUGUAUAUAAUGGGAAGCCUUUCAGUUUUACGUUUUAGUCCAGUUUAAGGAUAUUAACCUAUAUGUUAUAGACUUGUAGUGUAUGUACAAUGUAGCAUUGAGUUUUAUUCAACCUGGAUGAAGUUUUUGGCUUCUUUGAAGAUAACUAGAUUUUACUAAUUAUAUUUCUUUUUUUAUUGUUUAAGGAAUCUGUAUUAAUUAGGAAACUACAUUCAAGAUUUUGAUUUUUUUUUUUUUUUAUAUUUUGUGAUUGAUAGCAAGAAAAACUGCUAUUUGUUUUUAGGUACAAGAUAAGUGAUCUCGAUUUGUAAUUGCAAGCAUAGCAGUAAUAUGAGGGAAAUGUUAAUUGUUAA